UGCUCUCCUGCACCUUCCGCUUCGUCUUCAUCGCGGCUUUCUCCUACACCAACCACUACAACCAGGACAUCCGCUUCGACAACCUGUACAUCACCACCUACUUCCGCCAGCUCGACGCCCGGCGCUGGAAGCAGAAGAAGCGCACGCUGCUGCCUCUGCACCGGGCGGAGCUCUCCGGCGUGGUCUUCCCCUGCAGGCUGGGCGGGGAGGCG